rfam:Erinaceus europaeus unplaced genomic scaffold scaffold00298, whole genome shotgun sequence
AAAAAGGGCUUCUGUCGUGAGUGACACACAUAGGGCAGCUCGUUUGCUCUACGUGCAGAAUCGACAUCCAUGAUUUUGGAAUCAUGGUUUUUGUUGUUUGAGCAGCUGGUGAUCGUGGAUCCUGUAAAAUAA